rnacentral:misc_RNA from 1 species
AAGAGUUAGGGUCUUCUCGGCCCGACCUCCUCACCUCUGUUUACCUGACCUCACGUUGCUUCGGCGGGCCCGUCCCCUUAACCAGGCGACCGCCGGGAGGGCUCACCCCUUCUGGCCCGUGCCCACCGGAGACCCCACAAACUCUGUCUGAAUUGGUUUGUCUGAGUGAUUAAAGAUAAUUGUUA